rnacentral:rRNA from 1 species
CAAUAGCGUAUAUUAAAGUUGUUGCAGUUAAAAAGCUCGUAGUUGGAUUUGUGGCGUACGGUGGGUUCCGGGCACUUGUCGUCUGAGUAACUUGCUGUUGCCAUCCUUGGGUGGAACCUGUGUGGCAUUAGGUUGUCGUGCAGGGGAUGCCCAUCAUUUACUGUGAAAAAAUUAGAGUGUUCAAAGCAGGCUUAUGCCGUUGAAUAUAUUAGCAUGGAAUAAUGAGAUAGGACUUUUUUGCUAUUUUGUUGGUUUGCGCAAAGAGGUAAUGAUUAAUAGGGACAGUUGGGGGUAUUCGUAUUCCAUUGUCAGAGGUGAAAUUCUUGGAUUUUUGGAAGACGAACUACUGCGAAAGCAUUUACCAAGGAUGUUUUCAUUAA